GGGCCCAUAGCUCAGAUGGUUAGAGCAGCUGACUCAUAAUCAGCGGGUCCCAGGUUCAAGUCCUGGUGGGCCCA
rnacentral:tRNA from 1 species